UACAGAGGGUGCGAGCGUUAAUCGGAAUUACUGGGCGUAAAGGGCGCGUAGGUGGUUGAAUAAGUGCAUUGUGAAAUACCUGGGCUUAACCUAGGAAGGUCAAUGCAAACUGUAUAGCUAGAGUACGGUAGAGGGUAGUGGAAUUUCCGGUGUAGCGGUGAAAUGCGUAGAGAUCGGAAGGAACAUCAGUGGCGAAGGCGACUACCUGGACUGAUACUGACACUGAGGCGCGAGAGCGUGGGGAGCAAACAGG
rnacentral:rRNA from 1 species